rnacentral:snRNA from 1 species
AUUCUUUCGCAGAGGCAAUAUUGGUAGCCUAUGAGGCUCAUCCGAGGCGCGAUCAUUGCUGGUUGAAAACUUUACCCUGCCAAUGACUUGAAAUACAGUCAGCCUUGGCAAUUUUUGCCAGCUUCUUUUGAAG